rnacentral:lncRNA from 1 species
CAAUGCCAUCCGGUUUAGAUUACAGCUCCCUAGGGUAACAUUAGCUCCUCACUGCAGAGACAGAAGUAUGAGCCCAAAGAGCCAUGCUGGACCCUGAUCUGAUGAUUUGCUGCAUCUCUGCAGCAGCAGGCACAGCUGAGAGCACACACAUAGUGAGGGGAAAAGCCUUAUACUAAGAAACCGGUGUGACACAGAGAAUAGCUUUGUGCCACUACUGAUACCUGAGCUCUCAUUAAACCCUGCUGUGGUAGUGGUGUGAGUCUCACUGCUGGAGGCAAAAAGGGGAAUUCCACCUGCAAGAGCCACCCCCAUAACAGGUGAAUUUCAUAAUAGCUUGGGUUUUAUUUGCACCUAGGUAGUUUUCAGCCCCAAAGAAAACUCAUCAGAUGCUGCUAGGGCUGAGGAAGUGUCCUUUGGCUGGUUAUUUGAAGGUCUCACUGAAAAGCUGAAUUAUUCAGUGAAAUAUGUUGGGUGGGACUCCACUAAUCUGAUACAUAUGUUCAAGAUAUCUCUGCUAUAUUCAAGGGAGAGAAAGAAGCAUUUCUAAGGUUACCUCUACAUAAAGCAGAUAUUUAAACUAGGUCAGCUGACACUGACCUAAAGGGCGCAUCAGGCACCAGCUGUCAGCCAAGGCAACACACUGCAUCCACAGGCUCUCUGAAACACAGGCAGAGACACAGGAAGGAUUGUUAAAUAAUUCAAUAAUCAAUGCACUGCUCGCUCAGCCUGUAACUUCAAUACUGAUACUAGGGAAAAAAAACAACCUGCAAAAUGUGGCACCAGUCCCAGCAUUUACCUAUUUGAUGCAGAGGGGCAAAUAUAAUGAGUUUGAUCAGAGGUGCGAGGUCCUUGCCCUCAUUCCUGGCUUUUGGCAAGGAGCUUGUUGACUGUUUGGGACUUCUCGGCUCAGCAGAGGGUUUUAAGCGCGCGGACAAACAGGGAGAUAGAGAAUUUAAUCUGUGACUCCUAUUUGAUGGAGAGCGGCAUUAUUGACGUGGAAGACGUGGAGAAUCCAUCCUCAAUCCGUUGACGUUGCAAGAAGAUUAGGCUAGCCCGGCUGCCAUGCACCCCAGCGUUGUGCCAAUGCAGUGCUGGUGAGGUCUCACAGAAAAAGCUGAUGGCCACUGCCCUGGGAUGUGGCUGCAAAAUCUGAUAAGAUGCAGAAGUGGAACAGGAAAUGAAGACUGAGCUUUUGAGCCCCAAAGCUGGGCCCUGUCCUAAAUGUAAAUGGAAGGCAUCCAAAGGAAGACAGCAGAGCAAUCGUAGGAAUACAAAUCUAGCAGGCCAGAAAGGAGGAAAAUAAAAACAAGAGGAAUAGAAUCUAAGAAUUGCA